rnacentral:rRNA from 1 species
UACGUAGGGUGCAAGCGUUGUCCGGAAUUAUUGGGCGUAAAGAGCUCGUAGGCGGUCUGUCGCGUCGGAUGUGAAAACCCAGGGCUCAACCCUGGGCCUGCAUUCGAUACGGGCAGACUAGAGUUCGGUAGGGGAGACUGGAAUUCCUGGUGUAGCGGUGAAAUGCGCAGAUAUCAAGAGGAACACCGGUGGCGAAGGCGGGUCUCUGGGCCGAAACUGACGCUGAGGAGCGAAAGCGUGGGGAGCAAACAGG